rnacentral:sRNA from 1 species
UACUGGAAAAGCACACUGAUCAGAUCAGCAGAUCAGAUCACGGAUUAAGGUCAGUUCUCUACUGAACAUGACAGAAGGUGAGGAGAAUAAAGUCAGAGGAUAAAGCUAUUGCAACUAAUGAAUUACAAAAUUAGCAUGGAGCAGUCACAGUGACAACGAUGCAGAAUGAUGAUGCAGAGAAGAAUGGCGAUCAAGGCGCCAGUGCUGAGGCCAGCAGGAAGG